CGAAAUUCGCUGUACCCAAAUCAUAACAGUUCCCAAUUUCACCGGGUAACCUUUUUCAACCUUUAAUAUACACACACCCCAGCAUAAUUGCAAUUGAAACCUAACUCUUUCUCUUUCUUUUACUCUCACACACACGCACGCACAAAACAGAACUUUGAUUUGUUUCUUAGCUCUUGUGGCCUUCGGCACUGUGUAAAUUCCUGCGGAAAUUUACAAAUCUCUGCCCGUGUUACCAGUACCUGCAUAUAAAAGGGAGAAAGAGAAGCGUAUCGUUUGAAGUUUUAUCAUCUUUUGCUUGUUGGCUUUACUUUUUUGAUGGUCCAUAAACCCUAAUUGUUAUAUAUCUGGAGAUAUAGAAUGGAUCUUCUAUUUUAAGGACCUUUCUAGAUUUUGGAUAAGAAUUUCCUUUCGCGUAUGUGUGAGACUUGCUAUUUUCAGAUCUGAUUCAACCAAUGAUAUAUACUCUUAGUUCAUGCUAUGUUUAUAGGUUUUUUACCAUUUUGGGUGGCUAACUUUGGUUUCUAUUUGCUUGCACAUGAUAUUCUGAGUACAAUGAAAACUGACAGAAGAGAGUGAGCACACAGAGGCAAAUUGUAUAGGUUUAUACCAUUUCUUUUGCGUGCUCACUACUCUUUCUGUCAGAUUCUGGUGCCGGAAUUAUCAUUCUCCGGCAUAACUGCCCGGUUCCCAAAACAUCUCAGAUAAUCUUCAUAUAUAGUAUCAUUGUUUCGAUGAUCUUAUUAUUGGUUUUGUUCUAAUAUCUUGCAACUUUGACUGUAUUUUUAGGCACUUGAACGUUAUUGUUUAAACGUCUUUUGAUUAUAAAAUUGUGAAAAUAAUAUCGAUAGCGUGACUUUUGAUUACUCUUUUUGACAAGUUUAACCCUAAUCACUGAUCUUGCUAGAUUAACGGAGAUUUGCGGAUUUUAAGACCGUGACCUAAAUGGGACCUCAUAGAUAUAUAUUAAUAUAUAUCGGUAGGGUAAAGAGGAUGGUCCUCACUCCAUUCUUUUCAUCUUCUUUCAGGUUAUUGUUUAUGAUCUAUUUGCUUCUUUCAUGAUAUUUAAUUCGCACGCAUGCAAAGUGAAAGUGAAAUUAAUAUUGAUUCUGGUUCAGGUUCUUUUUGUUGGCUCUCCACUCUCCUUGCAUAUGGUUUUAUUUUUAGGCGUUGCUUCCAUUAUAUUUCAACUGAAUGUGGAAUUGUAUUCUUCACUACCAUUGAAUGUUGUCCUCAGACUAUUAUGUUUUCACA
rnacentral:lncRNA from 1 species